rnacentral:rRNA from 1 species
GACGAACGCUGGCGGCGUGCUUAACACAUGCAAGUCGAACGGAAAGGCCCUGCUUUUGUGGGGUGCUCGAGUGGCGAACGGGUGAGUAACACGUGAGUAACCUGCCCUUGACUUUGGGAUAACUUCAGGAAACUGGGGCUAAUACCGGAUAGGAGCUCCUGCUGCAUGGUGGGGGUUGGAAAGUUUCGGCGGCUGGGGAUGAACUCGCGAUUUAUCAGCUUGUUGGUGGGGUAGUGGCUUACCAAGGCUUUGACGGGUAGCCGGCCUGAGAGGGUGACCGGCCACAUUGGGAAUGAUAUACGGCCCAAACUCCUACGGGAGGCAGCAGUGGGGAAUAUUGCACAAUGGGCGGAAGCCUGAUGCAGCAACGCCGCGUGCGGGAUGACGGCCUUCGGGUUGUAAACCGCUUUCGCCUGUGACGAAGCGUGAGUGACGGUAAUGGGUAAAGAGGCACCGGCUAACUACGUG